rnacentral:rRNA from 1 species
UACGUAGGGUCCGAGCGUUGUCCGGAAUUAUUGGGCGUAAAGAGCUCGUAGGCGGCUUGUCACGUCGGGUGUGAAAGCCCGGGGCUUAACCCCGGGUCUGCAUUCGAUACGGGCUAGCUAGAGUGUGGUAGGGGAGAUCGGAAUUCCUGGUGUAGCGGUGAAAAUGCGCAGAUAUCAGGAGGAACACCGGUGGCGAAGGCGGAUCUCUGGGCCAUUACUGACGCUGAGGAGCGAAAAGCGUGGGGAGCGAACAGG